CCCUUAGAUGUUCUGGGCCGCACGCGCGCUACACUGAUGCAUUCAACGAGCCUAUCCUUGACCGACAGGUCCGGGUAAUCUUUGAAUCUGCAUCGUGACGGGGAUAGAUUAUUGCAAUUAUUAAUCUUCAACGAGGAAUGCCUAGUAGGCGCAAGUCAUCAGCUUGCGUCGAUUACGUCCCUGCCCUUUGUACACACCGCCCGUCGCUCCUACCGAUGGGGUGUGCUGGUGAAAUGUUCGGAUCGGCCGUUUGUCGCGGUUUCCGCGUCAUGUGGCUGAGAAGUUCAUUAAACCCUCCCACCGAGAGGAAGGAGAAGUCGUAACA
rnacentral:rRNA from 1 species